GCUCCUUGUAAUAUGCUUCGUUGUCCAACGGCGUUUUAUUCUACCUGGAAAUUGAAACUCAACGUAUCAUUCCUUGCGAAGACUGAGGGGAAGUAUUGAGUGAGCUUUUCAACUGAAGUAUUUUACGGUGUUGGAAGGGGAUAGUGUUUAGGACAGUCCAGAGAUGGAGCAGAGCCCUGAGGGCCAAUCUACAGAUGGUUCAUCGGCCCUUGAGUUAAAUCAUCUCCCUGGCCUGGUUCAUCACCUCUCCGGCCCAUUUCCCAACCCCCAGGCCCUUCUCACCAACAGCCAAUGUACCGUCCAGGUGCCCCCUUGCUCUCUGCAGCCGGCUCUGAUUGUAGUGUAAUAAAACAGGCAGGCAGCGUCUCGUCUGUGGUGGUCAGCGAACUCUCAACCUUCUGGCCUGUAGCCCUGCGUGGCAUCGACUGUGUCACAAAAGCAUGCUGAAGUGAUAGUCGAUAUUCACUCUUAUAAAUAAAGGGUCUCUACAGUUA